rnacentral:rRNA from 1 species
CACGCCCUAAACGAUGUUCAUUUGCUAUUCGGAGUAUCGACCCUCUGAGUGGCGUAGCUAACGCGUUAAAUGAACCGCCUGGGAAGUACGAUCGCAAGAUUAAAACUCAAAGGAAUAGACGGGGACUUGCACAAGCAGUGGAUUAUGUGGUUUAAUUCGAUGGUAACCGAAGAACCUCACCAGGGUUUGAAACCUAAGUGUAAGCUCCCAGAAACGGGAGCCCUCGCAAGACUCUUAGGCAGGUGC